ensembl:scaRNA
UUGUAUGGGCCUAUGUCUUUUCUCCUCCCUUGUGCUCAAUUCUAACAGGGGAGGCUGACGGGACACACAGCAGUCUCCCUCUCAGUUUAGGAGAGCUGUCCUAAGAAUAGGGCUGGCUCUUAAAGGCACGAAGGGCAGU